rnacentral:rRNA from 1 species
UUCCGUAAACUUCUUUUAUCUGGGACGAAAAAAGGGAAUUCUUUCUCACUUGACGGUACCAGAGGAAUAAGCACCGGCUAACUCCGUGCCAGCAGCCGCGGUAAUACGGAGGGUGCAAGCGCUAUCCGGAUUUACUGGGUUUAAAGGGUGCGUAGGUGGGUAGGUAAGUCAGUGGUGAAAUCUUCAAGCUUAACUUGGAAACUGCCAUUGAUACUAUUUAUCUUGAAUACUUUGGAGGUAAGCGGAAUAUGUCAUGUAGCGGUGAAAUGCUUAGAUAUGACAUAGAACACCAAUUGCGAAGGCAGCAUACUACACAGUGAUUGACACUGAGGCACGAAAGCGUGGGGAUCAAACAGGAUUAGAUACCCUGGUAGUCCACGCCCUAAACGAUGGAUAUUCGACAUUAGCGAUACACAGUUAGUGUCUGAGCGAAAGCAUUAAGAA